CUUCUCUCUGCCCGUCUCUGCUUCCCCCCCCUUCCCCCCCCCCUUUUCUCCCGGCCGACGGAGCUGAAGGGGCGGGGGUUCCUUCCUUGGAGUGUUUCUAGAGCUCGGAGGCUGCUGGUAGGGGGAAGUUGUACCCGUCAGCACCUGCUGAGGGCUUUGUUGUCCAAACCCUGACAGGUAAAAAAAUUCCUGCAGAAUAAAGCCAGACCAGCUGGCUUUGAAGAGAAACCCCCCAGUUUGGGCUGCGUUUGCCUCCUCUCCUUUUCUAUGAAGACCGAGGCUUUGCCCCCUUGAUCGUCAAGCCGUGAGAUGCGUGAUCUCUCUGCACAAGUGUCUGGCAGGCCGAGGUGCACCUGUUUCUGUCACUCUGGAGUAAAUUUAGCUGUAAAGGUAUCACUGACAACCAGACCUUUGUCAGUGCUGGCAAAAGAACACAGAAUUGCUUCCCUCCCCUCCCCCCUCCCGACCCCCUAUGCUGCUAGUUCCAAUGGAAAAUAUCCAAUCGGAAGUCUAUCCAAAAAUCAUUCCUAAAAAAUGAAAUUGCUUUCAUAUGGUAUAAAAAAGUAAGUUUCCUCAUUUCAAGCAGAUUUUAAAAUUACAUUUCCAAGAAUAAUCUUGGAACAAGACAAGUUUUCGUUCAAUUAAUUGUGGCUGGAAACUUUUUAAUGGAAACAUAGCACAUACUUACUUCAUUUCAGGUUAUUAAAUUGUGUUAAGCAUAAAAGUUAUUUGCCAUUCUUUGUUGCAGCUCAUUUGUUCUUUUCGAUUCUAAGAAAUAUUAGAAGGUUAAAUAACUUAUCACAUAGGAGAGAUUAUUCAUACUACCAAAAUUAGAAUGUGUGUAGUUCUGAGGGACUGAAUGUCAAAAUUGUAUGCUCAUAGCACUAAAACUAUUGGGAAUCUAGGAUGCCACUGGAACAUGUAAAAUGGCAGCUAAGGUCUAUGGAAACCCUUCAUGUUUAGAAACUGGCUAAAGCUUGAGUUCUCUUAUCUUUUGGUUAAGGUAAGGACGUUUAUCAUUUAUGUGAAUGUUUUAGACUAAUUUCUUUAUUAGUGGUUUGAGCAAUAUUCCUUUUGAGGAAAAUAGAGAGGCAGGCAAUAUUCAUUAAUAUGUCUGACAUAAAUAAAAUAGUCAAGAUAUAUAAAGCAGCCCAAGGAGUAACAUCCUUAGCCAAAGCAUUCUGAGCUUCUGCCUUAAUAAUUAUGAUUUCUUAAGUGUUGUUAAAAAGAGUUGUACAGAGUACCUGUUCUACCAUAUUAUUGCUGUUUACAGGAGUUGGGUGUGAUGAGAAAAGGAAAGCUGGGUCAAAAUAAAAAAUGCUUUGUAAAAUAAACAAAGUUCCUAUUUACUUACUAUGUAUAAACAGCCACUCACCAAGCCUCGUUUCUCCACAGGGCACCACUUUCAGAUAAAAACAUAGACCUGAAUGGCAUCAUCCAGUAUCCAAGGAAACCAUUGUGUCUGUAACCAGCUAAUGAGCUGCAACAGAGCCUGGCCUUCAUUUUCAGCAAAUUAAGUUCAUCCCUCAUAGGAAUUGUGGUCUGGCUGUGGCACCGCUCCUAGGUUCUCUAAACAUGAAUAUGCCUUUGGGGGAAGACAGAAGAACAUGGAAGCCAUGUGAAAAAAACGGAUCCUAAGGCAGUUUUGAACAUCUGGAGGCCUGAUUUAUUGGAGAUUGCAAAUGUACAGUGUAACAUAGCUGUGGAGAGCGAGAAGAUCAGGAUUGUCAAUGCUGUCAUUGCUUUUACUGGAAUCCCCAGCACGAAUUGAAGGUCUCACUUUGCCACCUAGGCUGGAUGCAAUGCAACGGUAUGUUGAUCUUGGUUCACUGCAGCCUCAACCUCCUGAGCUCAUGUGAUCCUCCCACCUCAGUCCCCCACGUCGCUUGGAUUACAGGCCUGUGCCACCACACCUGGCUAACUUUUUUUGUAAUUUUUGUAGAGACAGGGUCUCACUAUGUUUCCCAUGCUGGUCUUUAAUGCCUGAGCUCAAGCCAUCCGCCUGCCUCGGCCUCCCAAAUUGCUGGGAUUACAGGCAUGAGCCACCAUGCCCAGCCUAAUUCUUCUAAAUCUUAUCCUAGUAAUUAAGCCAGAAUUUUUCUCUGCCAAGACCAAUAGAUGGACCAAGAAGUACUCAUCCUUGUAAACUUUCUUUGGAUAAAUUGCUUACAUAUAAUAAAUUCAGAGUUAAGUAAUAAAAAUAAUGAACUACUGUCUUG
rnacentral:lncRNA from 10 species